GCUUCCAUGGUGUAGCGGUUAGCACCUUGGACUUUGAAUCAAAAGCCUCGAAUUCGAGUCUCGGUGCGACCU
rnacentral:tRNA from 1 species